ensembl:snRNA U6 U6 spliceosomal RNA
GUGCUCACUUUGGCAGCACAUACACUAAAACUGGAAUGAUACAGAGAACAUUAGCAUGGCCCCUGAGCAAGGAUAAUGAGCAAAUUAUCUAUCUGAUAAGGGAUUAA